GACGAACGCUGGCGGCGUGCUUAACACAUGCAAGUCGAACGGAAAGGCCCUGCUUUUGUGGGGUGCUCGAGUGGCGAACGGGUGAGUAACACGUGAGUAACCUGCCCUUGACUUUGGGAUAACUUCAGGAAACUGGGGCUAAUACCGGAUAGGAGCUCCUGCUGCAUGGUGGGGGUUGGAAAGUUUCGGCGGUUGGGGAUGGACUCGCGGCUUAUCAGCUUGUUGGUGGGGUAGUGGCUUACCAAGGCUUUGACGGGUAGCCGGCCUGAGAGGGUGACCGGCCACAUUGGGACUGAGAUACGGCCCAGACUCCUACGGGAGGCAGCAGUGGGGAAUAUUGCACAAUGGGGGGAAGCCUGAUGCAGCAACGCCGCGUGCGGGAUGACGUCCUUCGGGUUGUAAACCGCUUUCGCCUGUGACGAAGCGUGAGUGACGGUAAUGGGUAAAAAAGCACCGGCUAACUACGUG
rnacentral:rRNA from 1 species